GGCCUGGUAGUGUAAUGGGUAACACACCUACUCUGAUUUUCGGCCUUGUGUAACACAUCAUCGGAGGGAGUCCCCUGUUCGAUUCGGGGCCAGGUCA